GAUGAAGAACGUAGUGAAAUGCGAUACUUGGUGUGAAUUGCAGAAUCCCGUGAACCAUCGAGUCUUUGAACGCAAGUUGCGCCCGAAGCCAUCAGGUUGAGGGCACGUCUGCCUGGGCGUCACAUAUCGUUGCCCAAUGCCUAUUGCAGUGCAAUAGGAAUUUCUAGGGCGAAUGAUGGCUUCCCGUGAGCGUUGUUGCCUCGCGGUUGGUUGAAAAUCGAGUCCUUGGUAGGGUGUGCCAUGGUAGAUGGUGGUCGAGUUAGAACGAUACCGAUCAUGUGCAUGCUCCCCAAAAUAUGGCCUCUAUGACCCACACGCGUCUUUUGACGCUCAUGACGAGACCUCAGGUCAGGCGGGGCUACCCGCUGAAUUUAAGCAUAUCAAUAGCGGAGGA
rnacentral:misc_RNA from 1 species